rnacentral:rRNA from 1 species
UGGGGAAUUUUGGACAAUGGGGGAAACCCUGAUCCAGCCAUCCCGCGUGUGCGAUGAAGGCCUUCGGGUUGUAAAGCACUUUUGGCAGGAAAGAAACGUCGCGGGUUAAUACCCCGCGAAACUGACGGUACCUGCAGAAUAAGCACCGGCUAACUACGUGCCAGCAGCCGCGGUAAUACGUAGGGUGCAAGCGUUAAUCGGAAUUACUGGGCGUAAAGCGUGCGCAGGCGGUUCGGAAAGAAAGAUGUGAAAUCCCAGAGCUUAACUUUGGAACUGCAUUUUUAACUACCGGGCUAGAGUGUGUCAGAGGGAGGUGGAAUUCCGCGUGUAGCAUGAAAUGCGUAGAUAUGCGGNGGAACACCGAUGGCGAAGGCAGCCUCCUGGGAUAACACUGACGCUCAUGCACGAAAGCGUGGGGAGCAAACAGGAUUAGAUACCCUGGUAGUCACGCCCUAAACGAUGUCAACUAGCUGUUGGGGCCUUCGGCCUUGGUAGCGCAGCUAACGCG